UGGGGAAUUUUGGACAAUGGGGGCAACCCUGAUCCAGCCAUGCCGCGUGAGUGAAGAAGGCCUUCGGGUUGUAAAGCUCUUUUACCAGGGACGAUAAUGACGGUACCUGGAGAAUAAGCCCCGGCAAACUUCGUGCCAGCAGCCGCGGUAAUACGAAGGGGGCUAGCGUUGUUCGGAAUUACUGGGCGUAAAGCGCACGUAGGCGGAUUGUUAAGUCAGAGGUGAAAUCCCGGAGCUCAACUUCGGAACUGCCUUUGAUACUGGCAAUCUCGAGUCCGGAAGAGGUUAGUGGAAUUCCCAGUGUAGAGGUGAAAUUCGUAGAUAUUCGCAAGAACACCAGUGGCGAAGGCGGCUCACUGGCCCGGUACUGACGCUGAGGUGCGAAAGCGUGGGGAGCAAACAGGAUUAGAUACCCCUGUAGUCCCUGAGCGGGCUGGCAAGGCGCAU
rnacentral:rRNA from 1 species